UCUUUCUUCAAUUAUAACCUACCAAAUCAACUUUAUAGAAAUCACUCUUCCAUCUUCUCCAUUCACAGACGGCGGACGAACUAGGGUUCGAUUGUAGGUUAUGUGGGAAUGAUUUGAAUGAGCAAAUUAAUAUUACGCAACACAUCCACAAUCUUCCAGUCACGGCGCAUAGAGAAGGCAACGAAUCUAGGAUUUUGGAGAGAUGUAAUGGCGAAGACGAAGGUUGGUGCUGGAGGUUCGUAACAAUGGUUUCCUUUUGUUUACAAUGGUUUAAGAUUCGUAAGCGGUGUUCUUUUUAUUACUGUGGAAUCCAUCUGCAGUCUCUCUAUAAAUCUCUUAGGUUUCUUCGCUUGUUGUGAAAAAUCGGUAGCUUAUGUGUAGAAUCAGUGAGAUUUUUGAAAGUUCCCCUUUUCUUUAAACGAUUGUGGGGUUUUAUAUGUUUGUAGUCCAAAAUUGGGGUUUUUUAGAUUUGGGGUAUAAUUUUCUAUUGAUUCCAGUAAUUGAUUUUUUCCAUCUUGGGUGCGGAUGUGGGAUUAUGUGCGUGGAACCCAUCUGCACUCUUUCUCUCACUUUUAAAUUUCUUGGAUUAUUGUGAAAAAUUGAUUCCCUAUGUUACGAAUUUUUUUGAAUUAGUUACGAAUGUUUUUGAAUUUGUUACGAAUUCCUUAUGUUAAGAAUAUUAGGCAAUUUAUGUUUUGGGUUCACGAACCAAAAGUUGAAGCGCCACUUUUUUUUUGGGAAAUUCUAGGUCUACGAUAUUCAAAGGCGGCGAAUGAGUUGGGCAAAGAAAUCCUUUGUCAUUGAACCGUACUCUCUCGUGAAUACUGCUCUGUUGUGAAAUCGCGCGAUAUUGCAAGGUUGUGGAGUGAGCUGCACUACUUCGUGUGAUCUAAAAAUGGCAAGGAUUAAAGGUAAUAAAUCAUGAAAUAUUGGAUACUGGAGUUCGUUAGAUUAGCUUUUUCUCUUCUCAGUUUCAGUUUAUAAUGGAACACUCAUUUUUGGUUCAUCUAGUUCUUGACGUUUGAGAAUAUAACACCCAUUUUUGGUUGAUAGAUUUAGGUUAUGGGUUCGGGAACCAAAAUUUUUGGUAGUCCAUUUGAGUAAUCUAUGUUGGUAGUAUUUUUUUCCGGUCUGUUGCUUUCUUGUUUCCACUAUUCGUGUAGAUGGCUUGCUUGCUGACACAAAUAUUUGUGAUUAUUAGUUACGAAUCACAUCGCAAUUACAAACGAAUUAAUUGCGCAUGCUGAUAUCAUGGUAGCAGUGUAUAGUGGAUGAGUUUUGGGGGGUUCAUGCAUUUUAUUAUGAAUUGUGUCAUUGUGAUGAUAUCAUUUAUAUGUUUGCAUCGAUUAUUUACAGUAUAAUUUUAGUUUUUGUCCACCAAAAAUUUCUACUCAUUUCAGUUGGAAUGAGGUGUCUUUGAAACUUACAAAGGCCAUGCCUGAUUUUGUUCUUAAUUGUUGUGAUUUUCUGUGUGACUUGAAAUGUAAUUGGGAUUGCAUUGACACAUGAUAAAUUUGGAAAAUAUGAUUACAAAUCAUAUGUUAGAUGUUUACGAAUUUUUGGGUAUAUGAUUAGGAUGAGGUGGAUUAUUAGAAAUUUUGAUAGAAUAAAAUUUUGAUGGAAGUUACUUUGGGAUGCGAAUAUUGUUUGUUUAAUUACUUAAUAAUUAUUACGAACUUUAUGUUAAUUUAUUUUGAUUUCUAAUGUGUAUAAUGGGUGGGGCAGCGUAUGAUCUUUGUUGAUUACUAACAAUGUUGAUUCGAAUUUGAUUAACGUGGCAUGCUUUAUACCCAGGUACUGAGACAAUAAGGGGAAGAAGAUUGCACGUUGGAUUGUUUGGGAACCUGGCUAUAAACA
rnacentral:lncRNA from 1 species